CCUACGGGUGGCAGCAGUGAGGAAUAUUGGUCAAUGGACGAGAGUCUGAACCAGCCAAGUAGCGUGAAGGAUGACUGCCCUAUAGGUUGUCAACUUCCUUUAUAAAGGAAUAAAACGAGGCACGUGUGCCUUUUUUCAUGUACUUUAUGAAUAAGGAUCGGCUAACUCCGUGCCAGCAGCCGCGGUAAUACGGAGGAUCCGAGCGUUAUCCGGAUUUAUUGGGUUUAAAGGGAGCGUAGAUGGGUUGUUAAGUCAGUUGUGAAAGUUUGCGGCUCAACCGUAAAAUUGCAAUUGAUACUGGCAGUCUUGAGUACAGUUGAGGUAGGCGGAAUUCGUGGUGUAGCGGUGAAAUGCUUAGAUAUCACGAAGAACCCCGAUUGCGAAGGCAGCUUACUAAACUGUGACUGACAUUGAUGCUCGAAAGUGUGGGUAUCAAACAGGAUUAGAUACCCCUGUAGUC
rnacentral:rRNA from 1 species